rnacentral:rRNA from 1 species
GACGUAGGUCGCAAACGUUAUCCGGAAUUAUUGGGCGUAAAGAGUUCGUAGGUGGCAUAUUAAGUAAGGCGUUAAAGCCUAGGGCCUAACCCUAGUCAGGUGCUUUAAACUGAUAAGCUAGAGCAAAACAGAGGCUGGUAGAAUUCUGUGUGUAGGGGUAAUAUCCGUAGAUAUACAGAGGAAUACCAAAAGCGAAGGCAGCCAGCUGGGUUUUUGCUGACACUCAAGAACGAAAGCGUGGGGAGCAAACAGG